CCUCGGGUGGCUGCAGUAAGGAAUAUUGGUCAAUGGAGGAAACUCUGAACCAGCCAUCCCGCGUGAAGGAUGACGGGGCUCUGCCUUGUAAACUUCUUUUGUCUGGGGCGAAAAAGCUCGAUUUAUCGAGAACUGACGGUACCAGAAGAAUAAGCACCGGCUAACUCCGUGCCAGCAGCCGCGGUAAUACGGAGGGUGCAAGCAAGAACCGGAUUCACUGGGUUUAAAGGGUGCUUAGGAAGCUGGUGAAGGAAGGCUGUGGCUUAACCAUGGAAUUGCCAUUGAUACUGCAGAGCUUGAAUGAGGUUGAGGUUGGCGGAAUGUGACAUGUAGCGGUGAAAUGCUUAGAUAUGUCAUGGAACACCGAUUGCGAAGGCAGCUGACUGGACCUAUAUUGACGCUGAGGCACGAAAGCGUGGGGAGCGAACAGGAUUAGAUACCCCGGUAGUC
rnacentral:rRNA from 1 species